rnacentral:misc_RNA from 1 species
AACGCACAUUGCGCCCUCUGGUAUUCCGGGGGGCAUGCCUGUUCGAGCGUCAUUACAACCCUCAAGCUCUGCUUGGUAUUGGGCGUCACCGGAGAUGGUGCGCCUUAAAACUAGUGGCGGUGCCAUUCGGCUUCAAGCGUAGUAAUCCUUCUCGCUUCUGGAGCUGGGUGUGUGCUUGCCAUCAAACCCCAAUUUUAUCAAAGGUUGACCUCGGAUCAGGUAGGGAUACCCGCUGAACUUAA